rnacentral:rRNA from 1 species
GACGAACGCUGGCGGCGUGCUUAACACAUGCAAGUCGAACGGAAAGGCCCUGCUUUUGUGGGGUGCUCGAGUGGCGAACGGGUGAGUAACACGUGAGUAACCUGCCCUUGACUUUGGGAUAACUUCAGGAAACUGGGGCUAAUACUGGAUAGGAGCUCCUGCUGCAUGGUGGGGGUUGGAAAGUUUCGGCGGUUGGGGAUGGACUCGCGGCUUAUCAGCUUGUUGGUGGGGUAGUGGCUUACCAAGGCUUUGACGGGUAGCCGGCGCGAGAGGGUGACCGGCCACAUUGGGACUGAGAUACGGCCCAGACUCCUACGGGAGGCAGCAGUGGGGAAUAUUGCACAAUGGGCGGAAGCCUGAUGCAGCAACGCCGCGUGCGGGAUGACGGCCUUCGGGUUGUAAACCGCUUUCGCCUGUGACGAAGCGUGAGUGACGGUAAUGGGUAAAGAAGCACCGGCUAACUACGUG